rnacentral:rRNA from 1 species
CUAAACGAUGUCAACUAGGUGUUGGGUGGGUAAAACCAUUUAGUACCGGAGCUAACGCGUGAAGUUGACCGCCUGGGGAGUACGGCCGCAAGGUUAAAACUCAAAGGAAUUGACGGGGACCCGCACAAGCGGUGGAUGAUGUGGAUUAAUUCGAUGCAACGCGAAAAACCUUACCUACCCUUGACAUGUCUGGAAGGCCGAAGAGAUUUGGCUGUGCCCGAAAGGGAACCGGAACACAGGUGCUGCAUGGCUGUCGUCAGCUCGUGUCGUGAGAUGUUGGGUUAAGUCCCGCAACGAGCGCAACCCUUGUCGUUAAUUGCCAUCAUUUAGUUGGGCACUUUAACGAGACUGCCGGUGACAAACCGGAGGAAGGUGGGGAUGACGUCAAGUCCUCAUGGCCCUUAUGGGUAGGGCUUCACACGUCAUACAAUGGUCGGUACAGAGGGUUGCCAAGCCGCGAGGUGGAGCCAAUCCCAGAAAGCCGAUCGUAGUCCGGAUCGUAGGCUGCAACUCGCCUGCGUGAAGUCGGAAUCGCUAGUAAUCGCGGAUCAGCAUGUCGCGGUGAAUACGUUCCCGGGUCUUGUACACACCGCCCGUCACACCAUGGGAGCGGGUUCCGCCAGAAGUAGGUAGCCUAACCGCAAGGGGGGCGCUUACCACGGCGGGGUUCGUGACUGGGGUGAAGUCGUAACAAGGUAACCAAG